rnacentral:lncRNA from 1 species
GAGGGAGCGCACCGCGGCCGGGAGCGAUCGUAUAGCACGCUGCCUGGAAGGCCUGGAAGGCGUCCGCGAGGAAGGCGUCCGCGCGUCCGAGAUCGAGUAGCACUGCGGCCCGGAAGGCGUCGGCGUGGACCACCACCGUAGAGAAGGGAAAAUAGGAAGAGAGAUGGAGGGAGAAAAUGAAAAAAAAAAAGGAAAAAUGGUUCUGGUUUGGGAACCAGAGAGGGAGAAAGAGAGAGAGGAGCGAUCCUGUAGCGCCGCGGCCCGGAAGGCGUCGGCACGGAGGGGGCGUUCGGGAUAAAAGGGAAGAGGAAGAGAGAUGGAGGGAGAAAAAGAAAAAAAAAGAUCUAUAGAUCUGGUGGGGGAAAAGAGAGAGAGAGAGAGAAAGAGAGAAAGAGAGGGUGGGUUGCCAGAGGGAAAAGAGAGAGAGUGGGUUCACGUGUAGAGAGAUGAGAGAGAGGAACGGCGCUAUUUGCCGUUCCGUCUAGUUCACCCUUUAACUNGGGGGUUCACGUGUAAAGAGAGGGGGGUUCACGUCGUUCUUUGCCUUGCCGUUUAGUUCCACCCACUAACUACGCACGAAUCUCGAAACGAAGCCAAUCCGAUGGUAAAAAAAUGCCAAGCACAAGAGCUCCUGUGCUUUUAAAAGCACAGGAGCUCUACUCUAUAUAUAUUUAAUAUAUUUAAUUUAUAAAAUAUAAGUUAUAAUAAUAAUAUAUAUAUAGCUUAAUAAUUAAUAUAAAUAAAUAAUAUAUAGGAUAUAUUGUAGUGUCCUUAGGGUUUAACUAUUGAGAUAACUAUAGUAUCAGUGACUGGUUGACACAUCUGUAAAGUGUCGGGACAAGUCGGAGUCGUUUCAGUACGAAAUGGAUACGAAAACGAAAUUAGCGCACUUAAAUAAGACAAAACUGAAGUUCUGCCAGUUU